rnacentral:rRNA from 1 species
AUUGAACGCUGGCGGCAGGCCUAACACAUGCAAGUCGAGCGGAGCGGCGGACGGGUGAGUAAUGCCUAGGAAUCUGCCUGGUCGUGGGGGAUAACGUCCGGAAACGGGCGCUAAUACCGCAUACUAUCAGAUGAGCCUAGGUCGGAUUAGCUAGUUGGUGGGGUAAAGGCCUACCAAGGCGACGAUCCGUAACUGGUCUGAGAGGAUGAUCAGUCACACUGGAACUGAGAGACGGUCCAGACUCCUACGGUAGGCAGCAGUGGGGAAUAUUGGACAAUGGGCGAAAGCCUGAUCCAGCCAUGCCGCGUGUGUGAAGAAGGUCUUCGGAUUGUAAAGCACUUUAAGUUGGGAGGCGGUAGAAAAAGAAUAAGCACCGGCUAACUUCGUGCCAGCAGCCGCGGUAAUUG